GACGAACGCUGGCGGCGUGCUUAACACAUGCAAGUCGAACGGAAAGGCCCUGCUUUUGUGGGGUGCUCGAGUGGCGAACGGGUGAGUAACACGUGAGUAACCUGCCCUUGACUUUGGGAUAACUUCAGGAAACUGGGGCUAAUACCGGAUAGGAGCUCCUGCUGCAUGGUGGGGGUUGGAAAGUUUCGGCGGUUGGGGAUGGACUCGCGGCUUAUCAGCUUGUUGGUGGGGUAGUGGCUUACCAAGGCUUUGACGGGUGGCCGGCCUGAGAGGGUGACCGGCCACAUUGGGACUGAGAUACGGCUCAGACUCCUACGGGAGGCAGCAGUGGGGAAUAUUGCACAAUGGGCGGAAGCCUGAUGCAGCAACGCCGCGUGCGGGAUGACGGCCUUCGGGUUGUAAACCGCUUUCGCCUGUGACGAAGCGUGAGUGACGGUAAUGGGUAAAGAAGCACCGGCUAACUACGUG
rnacentral:rRNA from 1 species